CCCGGACUCCUACGGGAGCCGGACUUCGCCUUUAACCCUGAUUGCAGAUAGACUCCACCCGGACUCUUACGGGAGCCGGGCUUCAUCCUCAACUCCAGCGGAUGAAGACAGACGUCGUCCGGACUCCUACGGGAGCCGGACUCAGCCGACGACAUCAACAGCGAGCAGACUUCGCCCGGACUCCUACGGGAGCCGGGCUCUAUCGCCGACACCAACUGCAGGGUAAGCCCAGCCCGGACUCCUACGGGAGCCGGACUUCGCCUUUAACCCUGAUUGCAGAUAGACUCCACCCGGACUCUUACGGGAGCCGGACUUCGUCCUCAACUCCAGCG
rnacentral:lncRNA from 1 species